UAUUAAUGAACUGCCACCAAGUGGAUUCUUGGUCUCUCCGAACAAUAAUGCUGUCUCAAGAGCUCAACAUCAGCCUCUGCUACUAGCAGACUGACAACGUCAGGAGCUAGAACAGCUGUGAUGAGAGAGUCUGUGCUGUUGGUUAAAAUCAUAGCGCCAUCCCUGCCACCAUUUCCACUCUGUUUGUGGGUCCAUGCCCACUCUAGGGACCCCAGGGAUAUAUUCUAUGAUAUACCUGACUCCACAUGCCAUCGUUAUUCAUCACGGGUACCUCUAGCAAGAUCGAGUCUAUUGAAUCUUAAACCCCAAGUGGGAUAGCAGCUUUCCUCACAGCCUGGACACUCUUGAGAGCAGUCUUAUACUGGGCCCCACUUGAAACUGACAACCAUUGAUGUCACCCAAUAAAUGAGGUGGAAGAGUAUAAUAAAAUGUCAAAUACUGUGUCUCUUUCUUAAUGGCAGGAGAUGCAAGUGCAACACUUUUCUUGCAUCUAAGAGGGGAUAGCAUAGGAUAUACCAGACUAGUAGUUUCCUAAAAAG
rnacentral:lncRNA from 1 species